rnacentral:rRNA from 1 species
AUUGAACGCUGGCGGCAGGCCUAACACAUGCAAGUCGAGCGGAUGAAGGGAGCUUGCUCCUGGAUUCAGCGGCGGAGGGGUGAGUAAUGCCUAGGAAUCUGCCUGGUAGUGGGGGAUAACGUCCGGAAACGGGCGCUAAUACCGCAUACGUCCUGAGGGAGAAAGUGGGGGAUCUUCGGACCUCACGCUAUCAGAUGAGCCUAGGUCGGAUUAGCUAGUUGGUGGGGUAACGGCCUACCAAGGCGACUAUGCGUAACUGGUCCGAGAGGAUGAUCAGUCACACUGGAACUGAGAAACGGCCCAGACUCCUACGGUAGGCAGCAGUGGGGAAUAUUGGACGAUGGGCGAAAGCCUGAUCCAGCCAUGCCGCGUGUGUGAAGAAGGUCUUCGGAUGGUAAAGCACUGUAAGUUGGGGGGAGGGGCAGUAAGUUAAUCCCUGGCUGUUUUGACGGUACCGACAGAAUAAGCACCGGCUAACUUCGUG